rnacentral:tRNA from 1 species
UAGGGCCUGGCUCAGUGGUAGAGUGGCUGCCUAGUGUACAGGAGGCCUUGGGUUCAAACCCCAGGGCCCCGG